UACGAAGGGGGCAAGCGUUGUCCGGAUUUACUGGGCGUAAAGAGCGUGUAGGCGGCCACGCAGGUCCGUUGUGAAAACUGGAGGCUCAACUUCCAGACGUCGACGGAAACCGUGUGGCUAGAGUCCGGAAGAGGAGAGUGGAAUUCCUGGUGUAGCGGUGAAAUGCGCAGAUAUCAGGAAGAACACCAAUGGCGAAGGCAGCUCUCUGGGACGGUACUGACGCUGAGACGCGAAAGCGUGGGGAGCGAACAGG
rnacentral:rRNA from 1 species